UCUUCUGACAAUGUUGCUGUUGAUGUUUCUUUGACCACGUCUUUGUCGGAGUAGUUGUCGUCAUCUACUGAACACCUCUGUGUAAUUAGGAAGAAACGGUUAGAAAUCACGACGCUCUACAAUUAUUACUCAAAUACCACUUUCAGCCUCAGAUGACAACGUGGAAGAUUCAACAAAAAAAAAACUUGGAAUCACAUGAACUUACUGCUUCAAGCCAGUGUUGUAGAGCUAGUUUUUGAGCAUUCUCAUCCUUCGAUAAGCCUUUCCCGACCUAAACAAGGUACAACAUCAUCAAUGCCCUAAUUCCCACCAAGAAACAAAAGCCACAAUCAUACCAAAAAUCUACCUUUGCAGCUCGUGUCCUCGCCCGGGACCAGCGUGAUGUAGCGGUUUGUGUCUUUUCGACAUCGAAAAAUGACACAGAGCUUACCUUGAGAGCCGCGAAGUCCAAAGCUUUCCACCUUCAAAGUUUAAUGAACAGUGAGAAACAAAACACUGAAUUUCUGUAAGCCAUAAACUGAAAAGAGAAAUAGAAUUGUUUCACACCAUAGCUCCUCAACCACCACUGCACAAUCUGCCAGGUUCCUUCUGGUUCUGUAACUCUUAUAGACCUUUUGUAGCUUAGUUGCUGCAGAAUCCAGCUCACUGACUGGCUUAGUAAUGGAAGAAGAUAUAACGACCGGCUUGGGAAGUGAAAUUCUGGGUUUUCUCUGAUUCUCUGGCUGUCGAAUUUUUCUCCCAGAUGAAGGAAAACUCCUCUGGUCAACGACCAUAUUGUUGGAAGAAUUAGAAACUUGUUUUAGUUGCAGAUUCUGUAAUGUUGGUGGUUUUUCUGCUCUGAUUCUGCUACCACUUCCCUCUUCCUCUUUCAAGCUAGAUUCCUUGACAUUCAUCUCUCCACCCUGGCAAAAGGGUUUGAUUUUGCUGCUUAAAACAGGAAACAAAGAACCCAGAGGGAUUUCAACCUUAAAUGCUCCAAAAGAAUGAGUUUCUGACCUGAAAUCCUCAAAAGGGUUUCGAUGUUCUGUGUUGAGCUCCAAUGGAAGAUGAAGGAAGCCUUCUAUUGAUGUAUUUAAUGGAAACCUUGGGGGUGUUCUUUAAUGGCGCUGACGUUUUCUGGGUCAGCAGUCGCUAUCAUCAAACUGGGGAUUGUGGACUGAGACAAAAAGUCUUGCAUUGAUCUAAUUUACAGGACGUUGGUUUAUAAAAAAAGGUAAAUUUCCCAAGUUGUUGUUUAUAAUAAUAAUAUCCGACAGGAAAGCCAGAUAUGGAAGGUUUGCAGUGCAUGGCGGCGUCUGCUAGAGCUGCAGCUGCCAGCCAUUGUUGAAGAUGAAGGUCAGUUUUAAAUUCUAAGCUGUCUGCCUGCUUCAGAAGGCAGUUGAGAGUCCAUAAAAUCAUUUUGUUCUGGACUCACCUACCCACAAUAUUUAUCACCGGCUGCCAUUAUUGAAUUUGUUUUUUUGUUUUAAAAAAAUUAUGCAUCUUUCAAUCUCUUAUGUCUAAUUGGAUGGAAAUUUUAUUAAA